AGCAGUGGGGAAUAUUGCACAAUGGGCGCAAGCCUGAUGCAGCCAUGCCGCGUGUGUGGGGAAGGCCUUCGGGUUGUAAAGCACUUUCAGUAGGGAGGAAAGGUGCAAGAUUAAUACUCUUGUGCUGUGACGUUACCUACAGAAGAAGCACCGGCUAACUCCGUGCCAGCAGCCGCGGUAAUACGGAGGGUGCAAGCGUUAAUCGGAAUUACUGGGCGUAAAGCGCGCGUAGGCGGCUUGUUAAGCCAGAUGUGAAAGCCCCGGGCUUAACCUGGGAACUGCAUUUGGAACUGGCAGGCUAGAGUACAGAAGAGGGUGGUGGAAUUUCCUGUGUAGCGGUGAAAUGCGUAGAUAUAGGAAGGAACACCAGUGGCGAAAGCGGC
rnacentral:rRNA from 1 species